UGUUUUUAUUAGUAACCUUUCUUUUAUGGCUGCAUUAAAAAUGUGUCUUUUAGACACAACAAUUUCAAAUUGUAUUGUAUCUUCCUGAACAUGCCUGAAUUGUUUGCCACCGACAUUUUGCAACCUCAAAUCAAUUAAUUCAAAUUGUACUUGAAAAUCACUGUUUACUCAACAAAAAAAAUUGAAGCUGAAUGUGCAUCCUGUUAGUUGGAAAUAAAACUAAUGAUCAGUAGAAUAAAAAGGAAAUUUACAAAACCAGACAGGGGAAAUGAAAACAAAAUAACAAACAUCAUUCAGAUCCCGUUACAUAUUUUUUCAAUACCUCUCGGUCAACUUUGAAGCAAUUUAUCUAAAAAAAUAAACAAGAAUGGUGACAUGUGUCUCUAUACUUGCACGGCCUCACAAUAAAAUCCUGGAAAUUGUUAGUUUUUAAUCUUUUUCCAUGUACAUGAUAUAUAAGAGAUCGAAAUGAAUUAGUGACAAGGUUUCGAAAUAUUUUUUCCGUUACUAUGCCAUUUUGGGGAAUUUUCUGUGACUGUCAUACAAGUGAGAGGUUUGGCUAGCCAUAAAACCAGGUACAAUCCACUAUGUUCUACAUAAGAAAAUGUCUGUACCAUUUCGGAAUAUAACAGUUGUUGUUAUCCAUUUGUUUGAUUUUGCAUUUAGAUUUACUAGUAGGACUUUCCGUUUUUAGAUUUCCUUGGAAUCGUUUUUUAUUUUGUUAUUUUUCUUUUCAUUAGCACUUUUUUGAAUCUUUUGAUUAACUCAUUUAUUAAAUAAUUUUUUUCCCGCUAAAUUUUAAUAAUUUUAAUAUACAUUUUUGUCUCCUUUUUUAUCCCUUUUCUCCUUUCUCCUGCCCCUUUCUCCCGCCACUUCUCUCCCUUCUCCCGCCCCUCUCUCCCAUGCUCCCAAAACCCUGUCCAGGCCCUCAGAAAAGCAAUCCCUAUGUCUCGCUUGCAAGACAAAAACAAAGUGCUUGUAUGAAAUGAAGCCGGGUUGAGGAUUUCUUUAAUUCAUCAGUGGAAGUAAAAUAUUGCACUGUAAGGACAAAGGAGAAUAACUCCCAAAUUUUUAAGGACAUCGUUGAUAUUUUCAGAACAUAUUAGUA
rnacentral:lncRNA from 1 species